rnacentral:rRNA from 1 species
UACGGAGGGUGCAAGCGUUGUCCGGAAUCACUGGGCGUAAAGGGCGCGUAGGCGGCCCGGUAAGUCGGGGGUGAAAUCCUGUGGCUUAACCGCAGGGCUGCCUUCUAAACUGUCGGGCUCGAGCACGGUAGAGGCAGAUGGAAUUCCCGGUGUAGCGGUGGAAUGCGUAGAGAUCGGGAAGAACAUCAGUGGCGAAGGCGGUCUGCUGGGCCGUUGCUGACGCUGAGGCGCGACAGCGUGGGGAGCAAACAGG